AGCAGCCGCGGUAAUUCCAGCUCCAAUAGCGUAUAUUAAAGUUGUUGCAGUUAAAAAGCUCGUAGUUGAAUUUCGGGAUCAAUAUAUCGGUCGUGCCUUGGUACGUACUGGUAUCAUUGGUUUCUCCUUUCUGACGAACCAUGAUGUCAUUAAUUUGGUGUUAUGGGAAGUUAGGACUGUUACUUUGAAAAAUUGAGUGUUUAAAGCAGGCUUUAGCUUGAAUACAUUAGCAUGGAAUAAUGAAAUAGGACGUUCGAACCUAUUUUGUUGGUUUCUAGGAUCAACGUAAUGAUUAAUAGGGAUAGUUGGGGCAUUAGUAUUCAAUUGUCAGAGGUGAAAUUCUUGGAUUUA
rnacentral:rRNA from 1 species